UCGACAGUUACUGAUGUAUGUGUAUAUAAGUCGAUUUAGUCUUUGUAUCAAGGGUUCAUAUUUGUCAUUGUUGUUCUCUAAAGAAUUCAAACAUUCAAGUUACAGAGAUCAUAGAAUUUGUGAGAAAUGUAUGAAUCUGCGCCUCAGCUUUUAAUCUAAGCAUUUUACUUGAUUCCCUUUUAUGAUUUUUCUUCAUUUACUUUAUCUU
rnacentral:lncRNA from 1 species